GAAAAUGUAGCUCAGUGGUAGAGCACUUACCUGGCAUAUGGUAAGUGCUCUACCACUGAGUUCAUAUCCCAGCACUUCA
rnacentral:tRNA from 1 species